rnacentral:rRNA from 1 species
UGGGGAAUUUUGGACAAUGGACGCAAGUCUGGUCCAGCCAUGCCGCGUGCGGGAAGAAGGCCUUCGGGUUGUAAACCGCUUUUGUCAGGGAAGAAAAGGUUCUGGUUAAUACCUGGGACUCAUGACGGUACCUGAAGAAUAAGCCCCGGCUAACUCCGUGCCAGCAGCCGCGGUAAUACGUAGGGUGCGAGCGUUAAUCGGAAUUACUGGGCGUAAAGCGUGUGUAGGCGGCGUGUUAAGUGCGAUGCGAAAUCUUGUGGCUCAACCAUAUAGACUGUAUCGCAUACUGGCAUGCUAGAGGAUGGCAGAGGCAAGUGGAAUUUGUAGUGUAGCAGUGAAAUGCGUAGAUAUUACAAGGAACACCAAUGGCGAAGGCAGCUUGCUGGGCCAUAUCUGACGCUGAGACACGAAAGCGUGGGGAGCGAA